UUUACUGACUCCUGAGUUGAUGUUGUUAGCUGCUGUUGUUGCUGCGUUGAUGGUGCCUGUUGAAUCUGCAUUGGCAGAGCUUGCUGUGUUUGAUGAUCCUGCUGUCUCUCGUCCACAUAGUCUGGUAGGAUUAAACGCUGGAUUGUUGGGGGUUGGCCUUGGAUAUCUGCUACUACCUCUUCACGGGAGGCGGCCGAUUUGAUUGCUGGAGCUGUUGCCUUGCCUGGAUUUCGGCCAAUCUCUCAUUUUCUCGCUUCUCUUCUUCUUGAAGCCGGAGGAGUGUUGGGAGCUGCUCUCUAAAUUGCAUCCUUUGUUGUGCCUGUUGUGCUUGGUGAGCGGUGUGCUGUGUGUGCGGUGGCUGUCCUUGGCGCUGUUGCGGUCCAUGUAGAUUCUGAAGCGGUCGUAUGUGUUGUUGUAAUUGCUGCGAGUAGCGGGGCCUCAGUAGGCGCUGUGGCUCAAAUGGGUGCUCUAGCAGAUUUCGUGCCUCAGGGUUUGCAUGUCUGGCCAAAGAGUUUGCAAAGCGGUCACUUGUCAGGUGAAAGACUUCGUCAACAGUUUUAAAGCAAUAUGUACUCCGUAUUGUUGCGUUUCUGGUGUACCAGGAUGCAUUAACUGAUUUUCUUAUUAUUUUAUUUUGCAUUCGUUGAAUUCGUUGUAACUGUGUGUCUGAUGUGAGCGCCCCCCAAACAGGAAGACCGUAUUGCCAAAUUGGCAUGAUGAGCUGCUUGAUGAGUACCGCUUUGCAGUCCUUUGCCAGUCUGCUGUUGGGACCGAGAAGCCACAUCAGUUUGGAUGCUCUUGCUCUCAGCUUGAUACUUAGUGUGUAGAGCACAUGGCC